CCUACGGGUGGCAGCAGUGGGGAAUAUUGGACAAUGGGGGCAACCCUGAUCCAGCCAUGCCGCGUGUGUGAAGAAGGCCCUCGGGUUGUAAAGCACUUUCAGUGAGGAAGAACGCCUGGUGGUUAAUACCCAUCAGGAAAGACAUCACUCACAGAAGAAGCACCGGCUAACCCGUGCCAGCAGCCGCGGUAAUACGGAGGGUGCGAGCGUUAAUCGGAAUUACUGGGCGUAAAGGGCGCGUAGGUGGCUUGAUAAGCCGGUUGUGAAAGCCCCGGGCUCAACCUGGGAACGGCAUCCGGAACUGUCAAGCUAGAGUGCAGGAGAGGAAGGUAGAAUUCCCGGUGUAGCGGUGAAAUGCGUAGAGAUCGGGAGGAAUACCAGUGGCGAAGGCGGCCUUCUGGACUGACACUGACACUGAGGUGCGAAAGCGUGGGUAGCAAACAGGAUUAGAUACCCUUGUAGUC
rnacentral:rRNA from 1 species